AUGAAAGCUGAGGAGAAGCUGGAAUUUCUGAGUGUUGAGAAGAGAAGUCUGGAGGAAGAGAAGCAACGUUUCCUGAUGACUAAGUCAGAAUCAGAGACGGAACAAGGGCGGAUUUACGAAAUCCUCCAGGAAGAAUUAAACAAUUUGCAUCUGAGAAAACAAAGUCUGGAAACACAAGUGAUGGACUUUAGGGAAGAGAUUGCUGCAGCAUGUACGAUCUUAGAAGAGAAGGAAACGGCUCUAGAAGAAGGGCUGGAGGGUCUGAGACUUCAGAGAGAAACUCUGGAGGAAGAAAAGGCAAAUUUCCUGUUAACAAAGUUCAGAUGGGAGGAGGAGAAUAAGGCAAUACAGGCAAAACAGCUGGAAAAAUUCCAAAUUAGGCAACAAACUCUCAUCAAACAGAUGACGGACUCUGAAGAGAGAAACAUGAAUCCAGAGCCGAUCAUUCAGGACAUUCAACGGGUUCUUCAGGAAGAGAGAGACUGUUUAGUAACGCUCCCACAAAGCCUGGAGGAAGAGGAACUAGAGUUUAUGGAAACAAGGGAAGCAGAAAAUCAUCUUUUAAAGGAGAAACAACGAGCUCUGGAAGAAGAGGUUGAACUUUUGACUCAAGAGAAAAUUAUUUUUGAAGCGAGAAUGGACGACACUGAUAAAAAAAUUGGAAGAAUUCUCCAGCUUUUUCAAGAGGACCAGAGACAUUUAGAUCAGAUCAGGCAGGAGCUGAAAGAGCAACCACAAGCGUUGGAACUGAACGCGGCAUCUUUAAACAUGGAAGACGAGCAGCCACCUGUGGAGGACGAGUCAGACAGUCCCACAGCUGCGUCUGAAGAUCUGGGGGAACUGAGUUUAGAAAAAACUGUGAGUACCCAGGUACCCAGUGACGGGUACCCAACUGUUCCCGGUCUUCAUGAUGAUAACGACGAGCUUCCAGAGAACCCUGGGCCUGCCCAUGGGAGCGCUGAAGAAGACUGGGAGGCUGAAGAGCCAAGGCCUUCUACAUCUGGCCUAGGAUCCAGCUGGGACCAGUCCGACUUCUACUGGAGAAGUCUUCUUCCAGAACACCAAUGA
rnacentral:lncRNA from 1 species